UACGGAUUGGGCUAGCGUUAUCCGGAAUUACUGGGCGUAAAGGGUGCGUAGGUGGUUUCUUAAGUCAGAAGUGAAAGGCUACGGCUCAACCGUAGUAAGCUUGUGAAACUAAGAGACUUGAGUGCAGGAGAGGAGAGUAGAAUUCCUAGUGUAGCGGUGAAAUGCGUAGAUAUUAGGAGGAAUACCAGUUGCGAAGGCGGCUCUCUGGACUGUAACUGACACUGAGGCACGAAAGCGUGGGGAGCAAACAGG
rnacentral:rRNA from 1 species